rnacentral:rRNA from 1 species
CAGUGUGACUCGUCACACUAUCAUUAACUGAAUCCAUAGGUUAAUGAGGCGAACCGGGGGAACUGAAACAUCUAAGUACCCCGAGGAAAAGAAAUCAACCGAGAUUCCCCCAGUAGCGGCGAGCGAACGGGGAGGAGCCCAGAGCCUGAAUCAGCAUGUGUGUUAGUGGAAGCGUCUGGAAAGGCGCGCGAUACAGGGUGACAGCCCCGUACACAAAAGCGCAUGUGCUGUGAGCUCGAUGAGUAGGGCGGGACACGUGGUAUCCUGUCUGAAUAUGGGGGGACCAUCCUCCAAGGCUAAAUACUCCUGACUGACCGAUAGUGAACCAGUACCGUGAGGGAAAGGCGAAAAGAACCCCGGCGAGGGGAGUGAAAAAGAACCUGAAACCGUGUACGUACAAGCAGUGGGAGCACAGGUUUACCUGUGUGACUGCGUACCUUUUGUAUAAUGGGUCAGCGACUUAUAUUCUGUAGCAAGGUUAACCGCAUAGGGGAGCCGGAGGGAAACCGAGUCUUAAU